rfam:Salmo salar isolate Sally breed double haploid chromosome ssa13, whole genome shotgun sequence.
UGGCUCAGUUGGUAGAGCAUGGUGUUUGCAACGCCAGGGCUGUGGGUUCGAUUCCCAC